GCGCUGCUCCAGCUCCACGUGCGCUCGGGGAUGCAAUGCAGCCCUGCAGACAAGCGUCUCCGGCAGGACGUGGGCCGCGGGUCUCGGAGCCUCCUUCACUUAGGAAUCCUCCGGAAUCCGCCCCACUGCACGCCAGCAGUCGGGGGCCUGGGGCGUGCUGCCCACGUUACUGACGGAAGCGAAGGAAAGAUGGCGGCGACCAUGAUGGCUUCAGAGAGAGGGCAACCAACGAGAGGACGCCGGCCGGCCAGAGCGUCCACACCGCCGCUUUUUCUGCGGUUGCGUCCUGGGAAGGCGCGAAUUGUGUGGCUACGUGCGGGUCGUCCUCUCCACCAUUUUUUAAUGGAAAAAAUAAUAAUUCUCAAAGACG
rnacentral:antisense_RNA from 1 species